AACGAACGCUGGCGGCAUGCCUAACACAUGCAAGUCGAACGAGAAGCUACCUUCGGGUAGUGGAAAGUGGCGCACGGGUGAGUAACGCGUGGGAACCUGCCCCGAGGUUCGGAAUAACGACUGGAAACGGUCGCUAAUACCGGAUGAGCCCUGAGGGGGAAAGAUUUAUCGCCUUGGGAGGGGCCCGCGUCCGAUUAGCUUGUUGGUGUGGUAACGGCGCACCAAGG
rnacentral:rRNA from 1 species